AGGGAAUAGAUACCCGAGGUACGUCCUGGCAGUAAACGGUGCACGUUUGGUGUGGGCGCAAUCGACCGCGUCCGCGCCGGAGCUAAACGCGUUAAACGUGCCGCCUGGGAAGUACGGUCGCAAGAUUAAAACUCAAAGAAAUUGACGGGGACCCGCACAAGCGGUGGAGUAUGUGGCUUAAUUCGAUGCAACGCGAAGAACCUUACCUGGUCUUGACAUGCAUUGUGUCUCCGGUGAAAGCCGGAUAGGGUAGCAAUACCCGCUUUGCACAGGUGCUGCAUGGCUGUCGUCAGCUCGUGUCGUGAGAUGUUGGG
rnacentral:rRNA from 1 species